rnacentral:rRNA from 1 species
UAGUCCACGCCGUAAACGAUGGUCACUAGCUGUUCGGACUUCGGUCUGAGUGGCUAAGCGAAAGUGAUAAGUGACCCACCUGGGGAGUACGUUCGCAAGAAUGAAACUCAAAGGAAUUGACGGGGGCCCGCACAAGCGGUGGAGCAUGUGGUUUAAUUCGAUGAUACGCGAGGAACCUUACCAGGGCUUAAAUGUAAGUUGCAUUAGCUAGAGAUAGCUAUUUCUUCGGACCACUUACAAGGUGCUGCAUGGUUGUCGUCAGCUCGUGCCGUGAGGUGUCAGGUUAAGUCCUAUAACGAGCGCAACCCCUGUUGUUAGUUGCCAGCGAGUCAAGUCGGGAACUCUAACAAGACUGCCAGUGCAAACUGUGAGGAAGGUGGGGACGACGUCAAAUCAUCAUGGCCUUUAUGCCUAGGGCUACACACGUGCUACAAUGGCAGGUACAGAGGGUUGCGAAGGGGUGACCUGGAGCUAAUCUCAGAAAGCCUGUCCCAGUUCGGAUUGG